CAACCACUCGCAAAGAUGGCAGCGGCCGCUCGGCGGCUCCGGGCCGCGGCUCCGGUGGGGGAAGGUCACAGUCUCAGGGCUGAGUGAGGCGGGACCCCCGCGCCCCAUCAUGUGGAAACUCAACAAGAGCAGCAAAGUUCUCCUGGACGAUUCUCCCGACGAGGAAGAGACCCGGCUCCGAGACCCGCCGCCGUCACCUCAGCCAGCCACCAGCGCCGCCACCUCCGCCGCGCAGAAUAAGGACCAGUUUCUUCAUGAUGAAGUUACAUCUUCUGUGUCACAACUUGCAACAAAGUUGGAGUACUAUUAAAAUAAAAAAGGAACCAGAGGAAUAACUGAAGUAGAAAGAAAAUUUUCAAAGGGU